AAACUCUAAGGAGAGGGUAUCAAGC
rnacentral:piRNA from 1 species